AUGCUGCUCCUGGCAGCGCUCGUGGCCACGGCUGCCUGGUCUUAUGGAUUUGCACAAGAAAUUCCCAUGCAGAGCCCUAUAUCCAUUACGAAGUUCCAAAGAAGUGCACGGAUGAUAUGUGAAAUUCCGUCUUUAGGGUCAGGUUUUGAUCGCACUUUAAUACAUUGGUAUCAACAGAAAGAGGGUAAAGCUCCACAAAGGCUACUGUACUUUUUCUCAGAGAAACCUUCAGUUGAAAGUGGCUUUCAAGCAGGCAGGUACCUGGUUGAACAAGUUUCUGCCCAGAAACGGUGUAUUCUCACAAUAAGAGAGGUAAUUCCAGAUGACACCGCUACUUACUACUGUGCCUACUGGGACGCUACUGGAUAG